ACAAAUCCUGCCCCACCCCCACCACUUACAUUCCGGCCCUGGAUAAGUGCGCUUUGUUUUAAAGUACCUUUAAAGUAUAACUGAAGCCAAAACUUUAUUUUUAUUUUUUUAUUUUGCAUAGUGUAGGGAAGGGUUAAAACUUGUCAGUUUUGUUUUGUUUGUUUUUUGGUCUGUCUGUGAGUCCUUAGGGAGAUUUCAGUGUUAUCAUCAUCUACCAAUCAUCUCUUGUGACAUGCUUACUCACAUGUAGACAAGACAGCAUGUAAACAUGGUCAGCUGACCAGGCCAUGUGACUUAGAGGAAAAAGUCCAUCAACAGUCUGCAGGCAGUCAGAGAAGCUUCAAGUUCAUAAAGUUGAACAUGACACGAAAGUGACUCCAGACUUUGAAGGAAGAUCAUAACAGAACACCUGACUAUCGCUCACAAAGAUUGGUCUUACUUUGGAAGGAAGAUGUUU